ensembl:lncRNA
AAGAUGGGAUGUACCACUGUGAGAGUAGCCUGGUGGAAUAAUCCAAGUGAAAAUAUCUUUAAUCUGAAAAGUCAACAUUUGUUUUCAUUGUCACGUUUCUAAGCCCUUACAUGCCUCGACCUUUGCAAACAGCUCAAAUGACUAACUCUGAAAGCGGAAAUAAAUAGCUGGUGAAACAACCCCAAAACAUUAAGUUUAAAAAAAGCACAAAAAAGCACACGGGACAUAACAUGUCCCGUUACAGCGACUCAAAACGAAACUCACGGGCAGAAUAAAAGCUCAGAUGGGGACACAAACUGUGGUUUUCUGGAUGACACAGCUGUAAACCCAGACGGUGUUGGAGAUCCUCUGAAACAAAGACGUGUAAGUUUGUCUUUACGUCGAGACAGCAGGAAAUCACACCAAGAGACAGUUCUACAUCUUCAGAAAUACAAGCAAAGGAGUGCGGAGUCGGGAAAUGGGAAUUCAACAAAACUGAACCAGUCGUCAUUUCAAAGCAAAUCCAAAGAGGGAGAGAGGAAAGAGGGAACGUCAGGAGAAAGUACAUGGUCAGGAAGAAGCAGGUAAGAAAACAGACAGGGAACAGUGACAGGCAAAACAGAAACUAUUAAACUGACAAAGAGAAAAAACCUGAUUUUACUCAUACAAUCAGGAAGUUGUGUCCUCCCUAUAUUAAAGCUGCUAUACAGAAGCUGCAAAACAAACUGGGUUGAAACAUUUUGACCCUCUUUAACAACAUUCCAAC